rnacentral:rRNA from 1 species
CACCGCCCGUCACGCCAUGGAAGUUGGUGUCGCCUGAAAAGAUCGAGCUAACCGCAAGGAGGCAGAUUUUAAUGGCAGUACCGAUGACUGGGGUG